GACGAACGCUGGCGGCGUGCUUAACACAUGCAAGUCGAACGGAAAGGCCCUGCUUUUGUGGGGUGCUCGAGUGGCGAACGGGUGAGUAACACGUGAGUAACCUGCCCUUGACUUUGGGAUAAAUUCAGGAAACUGGGGCUAAUACCGGAUAGGAGCUCCUGCUGCAUGGUGGGGGUUGGAAAGUUUCGGCGGUUGGGGAUGGACUCGCGGCUUAUCAGCUUGUUGGUGGGGUAGUGGCUUACCAAGGCUUUGACGGGUAGCCGGCCUGAGAGGGUGACCGGCCACAUUGGGACUGAGAUACGGCCCAGACUCCUACGGGAGGCAGCAGUGGGGAAUAUUGCACAAUGGGCGGAAGCCUGAUGCAGCAACGCCGCGUGCGGGAUGACGGCCUUCGGGUUGUAAACCGCUUUCGCCUGUGACGAAGCGUGAGUGACGGUAAUGGGUAAAGAUGCACCGGCUAACUACGUG
rnacentral:rRNA from 1 species